rnacentral:rRNA from 1 species
AACGUAGGAGACAAACGUUAUCCGGAGUUACUGGGCGUAAAGGGCGUGUAGGUGGUUUCGUAAGUCUGGCGUGAAAUAUCUCGGCUUAACCGAGGCAGGUCGUCGGAUACUGCGGAACUGGAGGACGGUAGAGGCGUGUGGAAUUCCGGGUGUAGUGGUGAAAUGCGUAGAGAUCCGGAGGAACACCAGUGGCGAAGGCGGCCUGCUGGGCAGUUGCUGACACUGAGGCGCGACAGCGUGGGGAGCAAACAGG